AAGCUGUAGCGAUCCUUAGGUCG
rnacentral:piRNA from 1 species